rnacentral:misc_RNA from 1 species
AUAUUUUGUGCUCUUUAUUCAAUUUUUAACAGUUAUAAUAAGGUUUUAUUUCAGUCAUCGUUAUUACAGAUUUCAUCGACCUUAAAUACAUUACAAUUUUGCAUGCAGUUUAAGACUAUCGGUAUCAAUCUGAUACUAAUACAAUGUUAUUAAGUUUCAUCAUAUCAUUUGAUUACAAUUUUAAUUUAGUACAUAUCUUACCGUUAUUUUAAAAAUUAAUAGGUAACUAUUACAUUUCAUUGCCAUUUUAACUUUCGUGUCAACAUCUGUUUAGACCUUAACAUAUUAUUUCUCCGAAUAUUUCUCUAUAUGUAUUUUAAACGUCUUUGGAAAUCAACAACAUUCGUAAUUAAAAAAAAAAAACUUACAAAUAAAUAUUUAUAAUUAUGAUUAAGCCCUAAAGCGUUAACAAAAUUACUAAAUAUAAUUUACUUCCGUCUAAUAUACAUAUCUAAUGACUUUUAAUAAUAAAUAAACAAAACAAAUAACCAAAAAGACGGUGAUGGAAUGUUUAAGG